rnacentral:miRNA from 1 species
AUUAUAUAUAUAUAUGUAUACACACAUAAUAUACAUAUAUACUUAUGUAUAUAGUGCUAUAGGUAUGUGUACAUAUAUAGUGUGUGUGUGUG